AAAAACCGAUAAACGGUGUUUUUCAUUUAACAUAAUCAGAGUAUUACAACUUAAAUAGAAAACAACUAAACAAACUUAUCCUAAUUUAGGGGAACACUAACCCACUACGAACAACUAACUAAGUAUCCUACAAUCACGGGAUACUAUUUUGACUAAUUAUUUUACUAAACUAAUAUUAAUCAUUUAAUUAACUAAACAAUAAAUCUAAUAUUUUAACACCCUCCCUUAAACUGAUUUCUACGGAAAACAGUUUACAAUGAGAUUUAUUGUUCAACUUCGAUAUAUUCUUUUGCGAAAGAACAUAUAUCAAAUUCUCCACAUUGAGAACCAAUGCCUCAAACUUUCCAACUCGGUCGAACGUCAAUUUUUCGAACGCCUCCGUCAAUCUUCACCGAUUGACACUCCAUCAAUUUUGGACGAACGCAACUUUUCGAACGCCUCUUUCUGCCAAUCUUCAUUGAUUGACACUUCAUCAAUUUUGGACGAACAAACUUUUCGAAAGCCGCCCUCCGUCAAUCUUUCAUGAUUGACAACAUUAUUUCUUUUGCAAAAAGAAAUCUAUUAGCUGCUGCUAAUAUCACCACUUCUAUUUCGAAGAAGUAUUCCAAUCGUAAUUCGCCGCCUCGAAUCUUCUAAUCUUCCCGCCGAGUUUGCCAAACGUGCUGUCCUUUGCCGAGUGUCGCCUCGUCUGUAUCGGAUUUGGCCUUGGCUGCCUCGACGGUGUCAAAAAUGGGCUGAUUCAUCUUGCCCUCGCCAAUGUCGUCAAUCCUUCAAGUCUUUGGCAUGGAUCUCAACAUCCACGACUCUAUUCCACCUUAUACGGCCUCGUAGUUGCCGAAUCUAGGCUGCCUCUGCCCCAUCGAAAUUAAGAAGACCGCCUCACCUGGAUAACCGAGUGUUCACUGCGGAAAUCAAGGUUUGCAGGCAGCUGCUGCUUAACCCUAAGUCCUUCAUUCACGUAUGAAAGAUUCAAUAGCAUCUCCUACAAACCUUCUGCUUUGUUCUUCAUAUGGGGCAACUUUUGCAAACCUCCUGCUUUGUUCUUCAUAUGGGGAAGCUUCUGCAAACCCUCUCUAUUCACUCACAAAAAUUGUGACUCUCUCGAUUCUUCUCUUUUUGCUCUUUUUUUUUUUUUUUUUUUUUUUUUUUUUUUUUUUUUUUUUUUUAAAUACACCUUUCACACACUAGAAAAGAGAAGUAUCGAGACAUCUCCUCCAACGAGAAUAUGUGAACCCUUUCACAAUAAAAGAGCUGGAUCACAGGUCAGGAUCCAAGCUCUGAUACCAUGUUGGAAAAACCGAUAAACGGUGUUUUUCAUUUAACAUAAUCAGAGUAUUACAACUUAAAUAGAAAACAACUAAACAAACUUAUCCUAAUUUAGGGGAACACUAACCCACUACGAACAACUAACUAAGUAUCCUACAAUCACGGGAUACUAUUUUGACUAAUUAUUUUACUAAACUAAUAUUAAUCAUUUAAUUAACUAAACAAUAAAUCUAAUAUUU
rnacentral:lncRNA from 1 species